GAGGGUAUAGUUCAGUGGUAGAGUGUGUGCUUAGCAUCCAUGAGGUGCUGGGUUCAGUCCCCAGUGCCUCCA
rnacentral:tRNA from 1 species